CUCUCUUUCUAUUCAUUCUUCCCAUGUGUGCCUGACUGAUUAGCAUACAUGAAGUUUCUGUAAAGGACUCCCGACAUCGAAUGUUAAAGCUUGAAAUGUUUGUGUUCAUUGAUUGUCUAGCGUACACAGGCAUUACUGACUUGAGCACAUCGUUCCAAAUUAAUGUGGUGAAUGUUGCCUUUGAGAAAUUUUAAUUUGGUUUUGAAUAACCGUGACUGUUCAUCUGAGUAGGCAGCACAUCUGGAUAUUGUCACUAGUAUGAUUAGGACAGGGGCCUCCUGUGAUGUUUAACGAUUAAUGAGAGUAUUCUCAGUCUCACAGACAAGUUUGCAGCGUUAUUCUUCACUCUGUUGUGUGGCUGCUGUCAACGUGGUUCUGGCUGUUGGCACCAGUGCAUGGCUUUUUUGAGUACUGUAGCAAGGAAUUUUUUUUUUCAAAAGGGCACACUCGUGAUAGAAAUGUGGGUGCUCGGCAGGUGGGUGUGUUGUGUCGUUUAAUUGUUUACAGAAAUUUCCGCGCUAACACUUGCCUGGAGUGUCACACCCUAACUUCCACUAAAGCAUUCACAUGCACUUUCAAGGUCGCCAAAGUGCAACCACAUCUGGCCAUCCACGUCGUCCGUCUUUCUUUGUGUUUGUUAAAAAAUUUUAGCGCUGUUCCCCUUCUUCGCACUAUCUACCAACUCACUAGCCCAAGCUUCAACCUUAGCACAUCUGGCAUUAGGGCACUCCCCUGUGGUAGGCCACUAGUUUAUAAUUUUAGGUGGGAGUUUUGAGUGAUGUCGAAAUUGAUCAUAAUUAUACUUGGAUAGUUAUGAUGCAUUACAAUAUUUGAAGUUCAAUUUUGGGAUUAUCAGAGCUACAAAUUAGCACAAAAGUCACAAACAAAGAUUGGUUGUUAGGGGUCUGCAGGCUUUUUGUACCAUUUUAUUUCGGAGUUCCAGCAUGAAGUACUCGUGAAGCUGACAGUGCUGCGAAUGGUUCAAAAGCAGCAUGGGGAACUUAUACAUGGGCUGAUCGGCCGGCUUCGGUCCAAUGCUGCCAAAGGAAAUGCACCUUUAGUUUCCAGCCCGUUCUCGGAGUACGAGUCACUGAAACAGUUCGAUAACAAGUUGACUGGCCAGAUGAAAGAUGUGCUUGUGGAAGAGCUUGCCAACAAAGGUGGAAUCAAUGCUGCUGCGUGCACAAAAAGAAUUCUUUGCUACCUGCUCUGUGACAAUCUUGCAGCGGAAUUCUCAUGGCUUGGAAAAAAAGGAAAGCGUAGAUUCAGCGAGCUCCGUCUUGCCUCUUGCAUAAUAAGUGCUGUGCAAAAGGUUCACGCUGCAAAUAAAUUUGCCAA
rnacentral:lncRNA from 1 species